AUUGAACGCUGGCGGCAUGCUUUACACAUGCAAGUCGAACGGUAACAGGCCGCAAGGUGCUGACGAGUGGCGAACGGGUGAGUAAUGCAUCGGAACGUGCCCAGUCGUGGGGGAUAACGCAGCGAAAGCUGCGCCAAUACCGCAUACGAUCUGUGGAUGAAAGCGGGGGACCGAAAGGCCUCGCGCGAUUGGAGCGGCCGAUGUCAGAUUAGGUAGUUGGUGGGGUAAAGGCCCACCAAGCCAACGAUCUGUAGCUGGUCUGAGAGGACGACCAGCCACACUGGGACUGAGACACGGCCCAGACUCCUACGGGAGGCAGCAGUGGGGAAUUUUGGACAAUGGGCGCAAGCCUGACCCAGCAAUGCCGCGUGCAGGAAGAAGGCCUUCGGGUUGUAAACUGCUUUUGUACGGAACGAAACGGCUCUGGUUAAUACCUGGGGCUAAUGACGGUACCGUAAGAAUGAGCACCGGCUAACUACGUGCCAGCAGCCGCAGUAACAC
rnacentral:rRNA from 1 species